CAGUAGCCGCGGGAAUACGUAGGGUGCGAGCGUUAAUCGGAUUUACUGGGCGUAAAGCGUGCGCAGGCGGCCCGUUAAGACAGGUGUGAAAUCCCUGGGCUCAACCUAGGAAUUGCGCUUGUGACUGGCGGGCUCGAGUACGGUAGAGGGGGGGUGGAAUUCCUGGUGUAGCAGUGAAAUGCGUAGAGAUCAGGAGGAACACCGAUGGCGAAGGCAGCCCCCUGGGCCUGUACUGACGCUCAUGCACGAAAGCGUGGGGAGCAAACAGGAUUAGAUACCCCUGUAGUCCCUGUCUCUUAUU
rnacentral:rRNA from 1 species